GACGAACGCUGGCGGCGUGCUUAACACAUGCAAGUCGAACGGAAAGGCCUCUGCUUGCAGGGGUGCUCGAGUGGCGAACGGGUGAGUAACACGUGGGUGAUCUGCCUUGUACUCUGGGAUAAGCUUGGGAAACUGGGUCUAAUACCGGAUAGGAACUGCCUUUAGUGUGGUGGUUGGAAAGUUUUUUCGGUGCAAGAUGAGCUCGCGGCCUAUCAGCUUGUUGGUGGGGUAAUGGCCUACCAAGGCGUCGACGGGUAGCCGGCCUGAGAGGGUGUACGGCCACAUUGGGACUGAGAUACGGCCCAGACUCCUACGGGAGGCAGCAGUGGGGAAUAUUGCACAAUGGGCGGAAGCCUGAUGCAGCGACGCCGCGUGGGGGAUGACGGCCUUCGGGUUGUAAACUCCUUUCGACAGGGACGAAGCGCAAGUGACGGUACCUGUAUAAGAAGCACCGGCUAACUACGUGCCAGCAGCCGCGGUAAUACGUAGGGUGCGAGCGUUGUCCGGAAUUACUGGGCGUAAAGAGCUCGUAGGUGGUUUGUCGCGUCGUCUGUGAAAUUCCGGGGCUUAACUCCGGGCGUGCAGGCGAUACGGGCAUAACUUGAGUGCUGUAGGGGAGACUGGAAUUCCUGGUGUAGCGGUGAAAUGCGCAGAUAUCAGGAGGAACACCGAUGGCGAAGGCAGGUCUCUGGGCAGUUACUGACGCUGAGGAGCGAAAGCAUGGGUAGCGAACAGGAUUAGAUACCCUGGUAGUCCAUGCCGUAAACGGUGGGCGCUAGGUGUAGGGGGCUUCCACGUCUUCUGUGCCGUAGCUAACGCAUUAAGCGCCCCGCCUGGGGAGUACGGCCGCAAGGCUAAAACUCAAAGGAAUUGACGGGGGCCCGCACAAGCGGCGGAGCAUGUGGAUUAAUUCGAUGCAACGCGAAGAACCUUACCUGGGCUUGACAUACACCAGAUCGCUGCAGAGAUGUAGUUUCCCUUGUGGUUGGUGUACAGGUGGUGCAUGGUUGUCGUCAGCUCGUGUCGUGAGAUGUUGGGUUAAGUCCCGCAACGAGCGCAACCCUUGUCUUAUGUUGCCAGCAUUUUAGUUGGGGACUCAUGAGAGACUGCCGGGGUUAACUCGGAGGAAGGUGGGGAUGACGUCAAAUCAUCAUGCCCCUUAUGUCCAGGGCUUCACACAUGCUACAAUGGUCGGUACAACGCGCAGCGACGCUGUGAGGUGGAGCGAAUCGCUGAAAGCCGGUCUUAGUUCGGAUUGGGGUCUGCAACUCGACCCCAUGAAGUCGGAGUCGCUAGUAAUCGUAGAUCAGCAAUGCUGCGGUGAAUACGUUCCCGGGCCU
rnacentral:rRNA from 1 species